rnacentral:misc_RNA from 1 species
AACGCACAUUGCGCCCUGUGGUAUUCCGCAGGGCAUGCCUGUUCGAGCGUCAUUUCAACCCUCAAGCCUCGCUUGGUGUUGGGCCCUGCCCGUCGCGGCCGGCCCUAAAGAUAGUGGCGGCGCCGCCUGGCCCUCAGCGUAGUACAGCUCUCGCUCCAGGGUCCGGCGGCAGCCUGCCAGAACCCCCCAACUCUUGUGGUUGACCUCGGAUCAGGUAGGGAUACCCGCUGAACUUAA